GACGAACGCUGGCGGCGUGCCUAAUACAUGCAAGUAGAACGCACAGUUUAUACCGUAGCUUGCUACACCAUAAACUGUGAGUUGCGAACGGGUGAGUAACGCGUAGGUAACCUGCCUGGUAGCGGGGGAUAACUAUUGGAAACGAUAGCUAAUACCGCAUAAUAUUGAUUAUUGCAUGAUAAUUGAUUGAAAGAUGCUAUUGCAUCACUACCAGAUGGACCUGCGUUGUAUUAGCUAGUAGGUGAGGUAACGGCUCACCUAGGCGACGAUACAUAGCCGACCUGAGAGGGUGAUCGGCCACACUGGGACUGAGACACGGCCCAGACUCCUACGGGAGGCAGCAGUAGGGAAUCUUCGGCAAUGGACGAAAGUCUGACCGAGCAACGCCGCGUGAGUGAAGAAGGGUUUCGGAUCGUAAAGCUCGGUUGUAAGAGAAGAACGGGUGUGAGAGUGGAAAGUUCACACUGUGACGGUAUCUUACCAGAAAGGGACGGCUAACUACGUG
rnacentral:rRNA from 1 species